rnacentral:rRNA from 1 species
UACGUAGGGGGCUAGCGUUGUCCGGAAUCAUUGGGCGUAAAGGGCGUGUAGGCGGAGAUGUAAGUCUAUUCUGAAAGCUCCUGGCUAAACUGGGAGAGGCGAAUGGAGACUGCAUAUCUAGAGUGAGGAAGAGGAAAGUGGAAUUCCGCGUGUAGUGGUGAAAUGCGCAGAGAUCGGCAGGAACACCCAGGGGGAAACCAGUGGACUGGGCAUGUGCUGACGCUCAGGUGCGAAAGCGUGGGGAGCGAACCGG